rnacentral:rRNA from 2 species
UACGGAAGGGGCAAGCGUUGUUCGGAAUUAUUGGGCGUAAAGGGCGUGUAGGCGGCUUCGCAGGUCUGUGGUGAAAGGAUACAGCUCAACUGUAUUGAGCCGCGGAAACGGCGGAGCUUGAGGCUGGGAGGGGCUGGUGGAAUUCCCUGUGUAGCGGUGAAAUGCGUAGAGAUGGGGGAGAACACUCGUGGCGAAGGCGGCCAGCUGGACCAGUUCUGACGCUGAGACGCGAAAGCGUGGGGAGCAAACAGG